GACGAACGCUGGCGGCGUGCUUAACACAUGCAAGUCGAACGGAAAGGCCCCAGCUUGCUGGGGUACUCGAGUGGCGAACGGGUGAGUAACACGUAGGUGAUCUGCCCUGCACUUCGGGAUAAGCCUGGGAAACUGGGUCUAAUACCGGAUAGGACCAUCGUUUAGUGUCGGUGGUGGAAAGUUUUUCGGUGCAGGAUGAGCCCGCGGCCUAUCAGCUUGUUGGUGGGGUAAUGGCCUACCAAGGCGUCGACGGGUAGCCGGCCUGAGAGGGUGGACGGCCACAUUGGGACUGAGACACGGCCCAGACUCCUACGGGAGGCAGCAGUGGGGAAUAUUGCACAAUGGGCGCAAGCCUGAUGCAGCGACGCCGCGUGGGGGAUGACGGCCUUCGGGUUGUAAACUCCUUUCAACCAUGACGAAGCUUUUGUGACGGUAGUGGUAGAAGAAGCACCGGCUAACUACGUGCCAGCAGCCGCCGUAA
rnacentral:rRNA from 1 species